AUAAUACUCCCUCCGUCCGGAAUCACUUGUCAUCAAAAUGGAUGUGUCUAGAACUAAAAUACAUCUAGAUAUAUCCAUUUCAAUGACAAGUAUUUUCGGACGGAGGGAUUAGUAG
rnacentral:pre_miRNA from 1 species